UACGGAGGAUCCAAGCGUUAUCCGGAUUUACUGGGUUUAAAGGGUGCGUAGGCGGCUAAUAAAGUCAGGGGUAAAAUACAUAAGCUUAACUUAUGGCCUGCCCUUGAAACUCAUUAGCUAGAGUAUGGUGAGUGUAGGCGGAAUGUGACAAGUAGCGGUGAAAUGCAUAGAUAUGUCACAGAACACCGAUCGCGAAGGCAGCUUACAGUACCAUAACUGACGCUGAGGCACGAAAGCGUGGGGAGCAAAC
rnacentral:rRNA from 1 species